AACUCAAAGAAAUUGACGGGGGCCUGCCCAGCGUUGGAGUAUGUGGCUUAAUUCGAUGCAACGCGAAGAACCUUACCUGGCCUUGACAUGCACAUAGUAGAAGGGUGAAAGCCUGACGAGGUAGCAAUACCAGUGUGCACAGGUGCUGCAUGGCUGUCGUCAGCUCGUGUCGUGAGAUGUUGGGUUAAGUCCCCGCAACGAGCGCAACCCCUGUGUCCUGUUGCCACCCCUUAAUUGGGAGCACUCUGGACAGACUGCCUCGCUUCAACGAGGAGGAGGGUGGGGAUGACGUCAAGUCAGUAUGGCCCUUACGGCCAGGGCUGCACACGUACUACAAUGCCCGGCACAAAGGGAAGCAAGAGCGUAAGCUGGAGCAAAUCCCAGAAAACCGGGCCCAGUUCAGAUUGUCGUCUGCAACUCGACGGCAUGAAGCUGGAAUCGCUAGUAAUGGCGCAUCAGCUACGGCGCCGUGAAUACGUUCCCAGCCCUUGC
rnacentral:rRNA from 1 species